CCUACGGGAGGCAGCAGUGGGGAAUAUUGCACAAUGGGCGCAAGCCUGAUGCAGCCAUGCCGCGUGUGUGAAGAAGGCCUUCGGGUUGUAAAGCACUUUCAGCGGGGAGGAAGGCGUUAAGGUUAAUAACCUUGGCGAUUGACGUUACCCGCAGAAGAAGCACCGGCUAACUCCGUGCCAGCAGCCGCGGUAAUACGGAGGGUGCAAGCGUUAAUCGGAAUUACUGGGCGUAAAGCGCACGCAGGCGGUCUGUCAAGUCGGAUGUGAAAUCCCCGGGCUCAACCUGGGAACUGCAUUCGAAACUGGCAGGAUAGAGUCUUGUAGAGGGGGGUAGAAUUCCAGGUGUAGCGGUGAAAUGCGUAGAGAUCUGGAGGAAUACCGGUGGCGAAGGCGGCCCCCUGGACAAAGACUGACGCUCAGGUGCGAAAGCGUGGGGAGCAAACAGGAUUAGAUACCCUAGUAGUC
rnacentral:rRNA from 1 species